GAUGAACGCUGGCGGCGUGCUUAACACAUGCAAGUCGAACGGAAAGGCUCCUGCUUGCCGGGGUACUCGAGUGGCGAACGGGUGAGUAACACGUGGGUGAUCUGCCCUGCACUUCGGGAUAAGCCUGGGAAACUGGGUCUAAUACCGGAUAGGACCACAUUUUGGAUGGCGUGGUGGAAAGUUUUUCGGUGUGGGAUGAGCUCGCGGCCUAUCAGCUUGUUGGUGGGGUAAUGGCCUACCAAGGCGUCGACGGGUAGCCGGCCUGAGAGGGUGUACGGCCACAUUGGGACUGAGAUACGGCCCAGACUCCUACGGGAGGCAGCAGUGGGGAAUAUUGCACAAUGGGCGCAAGCCUGAUGCAGCGACGCCGCGUGGGGGAUGACGGCCUUCGGGUUGUAAACUCCUUUCGCUAGGGACGAAGCGCAAGUGACGGUACCUGGAGAAGAAGCACCGGCUAACUACGUG
rnacentral:rRNA from 1 species